UAAGAGUCCAAAUUAAUUCACGCACCUCGUUAAGCAUUUAAUGCUAAUGCCAACUAAAUGUUUUGACUAAAGAUAAUUCUAGCUGAUUAUUUAAAAGAAGUAAAUGUCAUUUUUGUCUAUAAAAAGACAGUUCUACACAUUAAGUAUUCUAAAUCCAUAUUGUGUCUUCAGAUGAAAAGGAAACACAUAAUGUAUCGUUUUAUGUAACCUUCUUUUUUUUACAUCUCCUUAGCCUUUCAAAAUAUUUGUAAGAGUGUCCUUUAUAUUUAAAUUUUAAUUAACAAUUAUGGAAACUAAUUGUAACAACCAACAUAGUAUCUAUUUUUCCUUAAAUGAAUAUAUCAAACUAAUUAAAAUCUAUAUUUUCCGUGAUAUAUUAUACUCUACAAAAUCAGUAUAUACAAAAUCGAAACCUUUUAUUUGACUUUUGAAAUAUUUCUAAUUUAUGUUUCAGUCCCAACGACACCUUCAAUCAUUUUUUUUUGAUAAACCCUAUCGGCUGAUCCGGUCGGCACCGGGAGAAACGCACUUAGUGCUACAGAAUGGACUAGCCCGAAAGCGUACCACACUGCCUGACCCGAGUUUGGAAUACCUUCCGACUAAUGCCAGGGGGUGAACCAAUCAUCUGUUAUGGCCCACCAUGUAAACCACUUGGGCCGAAGCCCAAGCCCAAGCCCAGACUGGCCAAGUAGUGAUAAUUUAGUUCCCAGGGAGAAUCGAACUCAGGACUGAUGUGGGUACACACCAAGCCCCCAAGAGAUUGCCACUAGGCUACCACCACUUGGUUGACACCUUCUAUCCUCUCGACUCUUAUCUCCUUCCUUCAAACACAAGAUCUAUCGCGAAGUCAAACCCAGAAAAAUUAAUAAGUCAUCCACAACGCUCUCUUUCCUCGAACUCGGAUUUGUUCAACAUAGCGUUCGCCAUAAGAGAGUCUCACAAUUUAGUGCAACGUUUGCGAGGCGGCAGAAGCGGCAGUGUUAUGUUGCGCUGAUAAUCUGCGUUGUGUGGACUCAUCUUCGAUCUGAAAAUUUUGAGUUUUCUUUAAGGUAUGAGAUGUUCUAUGUCUUUUAAGUUUGACAUAAACAUGUUUCUUAGAUCUUAUUUAUUUGGAGAAACCUCUGUAUUGUCUCCAUGUUUGUACGUUUUUUUGUGCUUUUACUUAUUAAAGGUUUGAACCUUUUUAUGCUUAGAGGACCAUUAACUAAUUUCUUAGUUAUUUACGGUGUUUGUUUUUUUGCAGUUAUCUUAGCUAUGCUCUGCUUCAUAUUUGAAUAUGACAAGAAGCUUCUAGAUUGUUCCUCUGUCUGCAAGAUAGAGCUUUACUAUGUUAAGAAUGAGAUGUCAUUAUCCACACUCUGAACCUUCAUUUUCAGUUCACCAUGUUAGGAGUGAACCUAAUCACCCCUUUGAUACCUUAGAACACAAGUUGCUUUAUGCAGUGGUGGAUCUAGAAAACAUAAUGAAUGAGGGCAAAAACAGUAAAAAUAGGUAUUUGGUUAUUCGAACCUUGGUUUAGUGGGUGUAAAUAGAAGGUUUUAAACCAAUUAAGAUGCAAAAUAUAUACAAAUUUUGGUACAUUUAAAUUUAAUUAUAAAUUUUUACUCUACCUAGGUUUUCCACUGGUUUAAUGCCAAUUAAGGCUUCUCCUUAAAGUUAAGAGAGUUUGUGAAAAACAAACUAAUAAAAUAAAACACAAGUUACUAUAAUUUUCUCUUCUUCCCUUUCAUUUAACGUAAACUGAUCUUAAAUCUAUUAUUAUAAAGCUUUGUUUCUUUCCCUCACAGCGCGCCAAGUCAGCAUCCAGCUAGGAAAGUCGAAGCCCCUGGUGUCAUGUCCACCUAUUGAAAACUCACCGUUUCAUUAAUCGUUGUUGAUUUGGGCUGGUGACUAACAUUCUUUAUGGUCUAAAGCCCGAUAUCCCAGCAAAAUAAACCCUAAUCGUGUUUUGGGCAAAGACAUCGAAGUUCAGCGUUCGUUUCUUUCUCCGUCCAGCGGCGACGUCUGAGCUUUAUCACUGAAUAUGAAACGGUCGGAGUUAUGUGUUUUUCGUGUGGUGUUCCUUAUUAAUUCAAUCUCCAAUCAUCUUCGCACCCUUAGCAUUCAGAAGUAUCUUCUGAUUAGCUAAUUAUAGCAGUGGAUCUCCCAGAUUCCUUUUAUCUAGCGUUUUCAGCGGUACUCAUACCAGCCACCGUCGAUGUUAACCGACUUGCCACCUACAGGCCUCGCCCUUGAAGUUACCCCAAUUCUUCAAGAACACUUCAGGUUCCGUAAUUACAAUGAACUGUUAGCCAACAGUAAUACCCAACUUCCAGCUCACUUCUAUCAAGAGCAGUAUCAGUGACUCUUCACAAGGAAAAGACUGGUUUGAUGGCGACCAUUCAAAACGAUAAUGAUGUGUCCGUGUCGUUAAGAAUGUUUGACGCACAAGCUGUGUCGUUUCAUAUCCACCUGGCCCGCUUCAAGGUGAUGUGUCCGUGUCAUUAAGAAUGUUUGACGCACAAGCUGUGUCGUUUCAUAUCCACCUGACCCGUUUCAUAUCCCGCCCCCCGCAACACACACACACACACAUAAAAGUAUAAAAAAUAAAAUAAUCCAACACUGAUUAUAGAUACAGCCAGAAUAAGUAAACCGCAUAUAACUUCGAGUGGUUUAUACUUCAGAAUUUUGUUCAGUGGUUACAAUAUGAUCUCAGAAUUCUUUUCAUUA